rnacentral:rRNA from 1 species
GACGAACGCUGGCGGCGUGCUUAACACAUGCAAGUCGAACGGAAAGGCCCUGCUUUUGUGGGGUGCUCGAGUGGCGAACGGGUGAGUAACACGUGAGUAACCUGCCCUUGACUUUGGGAUAACUUCAGGAAACUGGGGCUCAUACCGGAUAGGAGCUCCUGCUGCAUGGUGGGGGUUGGAAAGUUUCGGUGGUUGGGGAAGGACUCGCGGCUUAUCAGCUUGUUGGUGGGGUAGUGGCUUACCAAGGCUUUGACGGGUAGCCGGCCUGAGAGGGUGACCGGCCACAGUGUGACUGAGAGACGGCCCAGACGGCUACGGGAGGCAGCAGUGGAGAAUAUUGCACGAUGGGCGGAGGCCGGAUACAGCAACGUCGCGUGCGGGAUGACGGCCGUCGGGGUGGAAACCGCUUGCGCCUGUGACGAAGCGUGAGUGACGGUAAUGGGUAAAGAAGCACCGGCUAACUACGUG